rnacentral:rRNA from 1 species
GACGAACCGGACAAACGUUAUUCGGAAUUACUGGGCUUAAAGGGUGCGUAGGCGGCGCGGAAAGUUGGGUGUGAAAUCCCUCGGCUCAACCGAGGAACUGCGCUCAAAACUACCGUGCUAGAGGAAGACAGAGGUGAGUGGAACUUAGGGUGGAGCGGUGAAAUGUGUUGAUAUCCUAAGGAACACCGGUGGCGAAGGCGACUCACUGGGUCUUUUCUGACGCUGAGGCACGAAAGCUAGGGGAGCGAACGGG